CAUUGCCAUUUUUUUCAAUUUUUUUUUUCAAUGUGCAUUACUUCGCAUUUAUCGACAUUGAAUUACAUCUGCCAUAUUGUUGCCCAGUCACUCAGUUUUGUGAGAUCCCUUUGCAGCUCUUUGCAGUCUG